rnacentral:rRNA from 1 species
UGAGGAAUAUUGGGCAAUGCCCGCAAGGGUGACCCAGCAACGCCGCGUGGAGGAUGAAUGUCGUAAGAUUGUAAACUCCUGUUAGAGGGGAAGAAUAGUACCGGUUGGACCGGUAUAUGACUGUACCCUCAGAGAAAGCCCCGGCUAACUACGUGCCAGCAGCCGCGGUAAUACGUAGGGGGCAAGCGUUGUCCGGAUUUACUGGGUGUAAAGGGCGCGCAGGCGGGAUAAAAAGUCAGUGGUGAAAUCCUACAGCUUAACUGUAGAACUGCCUUUGAUACUUUUAUCAGUGAGUUCGGUAGAGAGAGACGGAAUUCCAGGUGUAGUGGUGAAAUACGUAGAUAUCUGGAAGAACACCAGUUGCGAAGGCGGUCUCUUGGUCCGACACUGACGCUGAGGCGCGAAAGCGUGGGGAGCAAAC